rnacentral:rRNA from 1 species
UGAGGAAUUUUGCGCAAUGGGGGAAACCCUGACGCAGCGACGCCGCGUGGGUGAAGAAGGUUUUCGGAUCGUAAAGCCCUGUCAGGUGGGAAGAAGUGCAGGUCGGUUAAUACCCGGCUUGUUUGACGGUACCACCGAAGGAAGCACCGGCUAACUCCGUGCCAGCAGCCGCGGUAAUACGGAGGGUGCAAGCGUUGUUCGGAAUCACUGGGCGUAAAGGGCGCGUAGGCGGCUAUGCAAGUCAUAUGUGAAAGCCCACGGCUUAACCGUGGAAGUGCAUGUGAAACUGCAUGGCUUGAGUAUCGGAGGGGAAAGUGGAAUUCCCGGUGUAGAGGUGAAAUUCGUAGAGAUCGGGAGGAAUACCGGUGGCGAAGGCGACUUUCUGGACGAAUACUGACGC